UACGUAGGUGGCGAGCGUUGUCCGGAUUUAUUGGGCGUAAAGAGCGUGUAGGCGGCCAUACAGGUCAGCUGUGAAAACUCGAGGCUCAACCUCGAGACGUCGGUUGAAACCGUAUGGCUAGAGUCCGGAAGAGGAGAGUGGAAUUCCCGGUGUAGCGGUGAAAUGCGCAGAUAUCGGGAAGAACACCCGUGGCGAAGGCGGCUCUCUGGGACGGUACUGACGCUGAGACGCGAAAGCGUGGGGAGCGAACAGG
rnacentral:rRNA from 1 species